CCCGGUCUAGUCAAUUAGGUCAAUCUGAAUUGAGGGUAAAAAGGAACUCAGUAUAAAAGGAGAAGAGAGAGCACACAAGAGGUAUUCAGAAACAAAAGAAAUGAUAUGAGCGGCUAGAACUAGGGUUCAUCUUUGAUCUGCCGGAAAUCUUGUUAUUUCUUGGUUAUUAAUCAAACACUCUUAUAAUCUGUCACUUGAUUGAUCAGUAAAACAUCUUUUAAACGACUCAUCA
rnacentral:lncRNA from 1 species